rnacentral:rRNA from 1 species
AGCGAACGCUGGCGGCAGGCCUAACACAUGCAAGUCGAACGAAGUCUUCGGACUUAGUGGCGGACGGGUGAGUAACACGUGGGAACGUGCCUUUAGGUUCGGAAUAACUCAGGGAAACUUGUGCUAAUACCGAAUGUGCCCUUCGGGGGAAAGAUUUAUCGCCUUUAGAGCGGCCCGCGUCUGAUUAGCUAGUUGGUGGGGUAAUGGCCCACCAAGGCUACGAUCAGUAGCUGGUCUGAGAGGAUGACCAGCCACAUUGGGACUGAGACACGGCCCAAACUCCUACGGGGGGCAGCGGUGGGGAAUCUUGCGCAAUGGGCGAAAGCCUGACGCAGCCAUGCCGCGUGGAUGAUGAAGGUCUUAGGAUUGUAAAAUCCUUUCACCGGUGAAGAUAAUGACUGUAGCCGGAGAAGAAGCCCCGGCUAACUUCGUGCCAGCAGCCGCCGUAA